UAUGGUCACAUCAUGUUGAAAUACUGGGUCCCAUAUGAUCACCAAAGUUAAGCAAGGUUGAGCCUGGUCAGUACCUAGAUGGGUGACCCCUUGGAAAUGCCAGGUGCUGUAAG